rnacentral:lncRNA from 1 species
CUUCGGUGCUCAGCUUUCUUUAUAGUCCAACUCUCAUAUUCAUACACGACUAUUGGAAAAACCAUAGCACUGACUAAACAGACCUUUGUUAGCAAAGUAAUGAUUAAGUUUCAAUUUUCUGUGCUAACUAAGCCAUUCUAUAGUAACACUCCCAGUAAGAAGUCCAGAACAAGUCUCUUUAGCCCAGUUUAUUAUUUUGCAUGGGCUAUACCUUAGGCCAACUUAUAUAUUCAGAUCCCAGUUGGCAGAUACCCACCGCAGUCAGUGAAUUGUGGCACAGUUGAAAUGACAACAGUUUGGACUAGAGGGUAAAACCUGAUAACUUGGUUUCUCAGCAGAGGCAGUAGGUAAAGGGUGGGGCAAUUCUCUUCAGAUGGGGUUGUGUUCACUGCAGGCAGCAUGAUGAAAAUGUUUAACUGGAAUAUUAUAAACCAACUAUGGAGAGAAAGCAAUACUUCCUACCACCUUUUCUUCAGAUUAUCUGAUCUGGAUGUUUCUGCAUCUAUGUGAGUUUUCUUCCUUCUUGAUAACUUUCCUUAUUUCUAUUGUCAUUAAGGGACAGAGCUGUUUAUCUCAGGUUCUUAGGUUCCUGGAAAAGCAGAAUCUUUUUUCCGUCUAAGGUCUAUUCCACUAUCUCUUUAGGUUGAGAUGAACUCUUCCAACAAGUAUGUAGACUCACUUAUAGACUUGGAUCAUAGCUCUCAGAAAGUCUUAGAACAUACUCUCCUGCUUUCUGAGUACAGAGACCACUUAACUGUCUCCAUUAGAACAUUCUUACAGCUUUGACUUCACCACUUCUUGCUUGCUGCUGCUGCUGUUUAGUCACAUAGUCAUGUCAGACCCUGUGUGACCCCAUGGAUUGUAGCCCGCCAGGCUCCCUGCCUGUUUGAUUUCCCAGGCAAGAACACUGGAGUGGGUUGCCACGUCCUUCUCCAGGGAUUUUUCCAGCCCAGGGAUCAAAUUCGUGUCUCCUGCAUCUCCUGCUUGGCAAGCAGAAUCUUUACCACUUACUACUUCAGUUCAAUUCAGUUCAGUUCAGUUCAGUCGCUCAGUCGUGUCUGACU